rnacentral:rRNA from 1 species
UACGGAGGGGGCUAGCGUUGUUCGGAAUUACUGGGCGUAAAGCGCACGUAGGCGGCUUUGUAAGUUUAGAGGUGAAAGCCCAGGGCUUAACCCUGGAAUUGCCUUUAAGACUGCAUCGCUAGAAUCGUGGAGAGGUGAGUGGAAUUCCGAGUGUAGAGGUGAAAUUCGUAGAUAUUCGGAAGAACACCAGUGGCGAAGGCGACUCACUGGACACGUAUUGACGCUGAGGUGCGAAAGCGUGGGGAGCAAACAGG